rnacentral:rRNA from 1 species
AUUGAACGCUGGCGGCAGGCCUAACACAUGCAAGUCGAACGAGUGGCGGACGGGUGAGUAAUGUCUGGGAAACUGCCUGAUGGAGGGGGAUAACUACUGGAAACGGUAGCUAAUACCGCAUACCAUCGGAUGUGCCCCGAUGGGAUUAGCUCGUAGGUGGGGUAAAGGCUCACCUAGGCGACGAUCCCUAGCUGGUCUGAGAGGAUGACCGGCGACACGGGAACUGAGACACGGUUCAGACUCCUACGGGAGGCAGCAGUGGGGAAUAGUGCACAAUGGGCGAAAGCCUGAUGCAGCCAGGCCGCGUGUAUGAAGAAGGCCUUCGGGUGUUAAAGUACUUUCAGCGGGGAGGCGUUACCCGCAGAAGAAGCACCGGCUAACUCCGUGCCAGCAGCCGCGGUAAUAC